rnacentral:lncRNA from 1 species
CUCUGUUUUCCCCGCUGUGAGCAACUUCCUCCAUGAACGAAGCUUCGAUCCUUUCCUAGAUCCGUUCUGGCAUGUAGAGGUUAUUUAGAAAUGCCACUAUGUUCCACCGCAAGCAUAUCAGCUAGCCCAGUGGCUAGCGUGGCCUCUAUCCAUUCGAGGGGUCUGGGGUUCGAGUCCCAGCCGCCCCCUUUUAUUUUGCUUAGUUUUUCCUGUUAUUUUGCACUCCCACUUCUGCUUCGGGCCAGAUCUGCUGCUGGGCUUGCACAGUGCGUUGCACUCGGCCCGUUGCUAUUUUUUUUGGCGUGCUGCGAAUUUCAUAUUAUCCAGAGAGUGCGGUUUUGCAGAAAACCCCUCAUACAUCAUGCAUAUAAUAACUUCACAGCCGUGCAUCGGAUUAAAAUAAUUUAUAUAUGUAAAAUGUCUAGAAUUUCUUCUAGUUUCAUAAUAUGCUGCUCUCAUCCAUGUUUAAAAUGUUUAAACUUGUUGUUUAUUUAAUUUGCUUAAAUGCCAUGUUAAAAUGAUUUAUUUCAUAACUAAUUAACCGUAACUCGGAUUUAAAUAAACUUUAUAUGCAAAUGGGGUAGAAAAAUGCCUAGUUUAACAUGGUACACUUUAUUUUGCUUAGUUUUUCCUGUUAUUUUGCACUCCCACUUCUGCUUCGGGCCAGAUCUGCUGCUGGGCUUGCACAGUGCGUUGCACUCGGCCCGUUGCUAUUUUUUUUGGCGUGCUGCGAAUUUCAUAUUAUCCAGAGAGUGCGGUUUUGCAGAAAACCCCUCAUACAUCAUGCAUAUAAUAACUUCACAGCCGUGCAUCGGAUUAAAAUAAUUUAUAUAUGUAAAAUGUCUAGAAUUUCUUCUAGUUUCAUAAUAUGCUGCUCUCAUCCAUGUUUAAAAUGUUUAAACUUGUUGUUUAUUUAAUUUGCUUAAAUGCCAUGUUAAAAUGAUUUAUUUCAUAACUAAUUAACCGUAACUCGGAUUUAAAUAAACUUUAUAUGCAAAUGGGGUAGAAAAAUGCCUAGUUUAACAUGGUACACUUUAUUUUGCUGUUUAACAACAUUAAAAUUGUGUUUAGGGCAGAACAGUACCAAAUCAAAAUAUGCACAUGAGGAUUUUAUGGAAUUGUUGUUUGUUAUUUCCGGCCUUAUUUAAACUUGCCUAAAUAGUUAGCUUACUUAUGCUUCACCAUAUUGCCAUGUUAAUCAACAUUUAAUAUUGUUGGGUGCAUAACCGAGAGAGCUAAACAAUGGAUAUGGUGUUUCGUCAAUAUGCAACUCGUUGCAUAUUGAGCUCCACUUAACUUGUAGUUUUAUUUGUGCACUUUGCCAUGCCAUGCCUCAUUAAACCGGACAUGCAUCAUACUUGAUUGUGCUUCAUGCCAUGUUUAUGUGGUGGUUGUUUACUAUGUUGUUUGUUUCUUUCCGGGUUGCUUCUCUCGUUAGCUUUGGUUUCUUUCCGGAGUUGUGAGGAUUCGUUCGACUCCGUCCGUUUGUCUUCUUCAUGGACUCGUUCUUCUUCCUAGCGGGAUCGCAGGCAAGAUGACCAUACCCUCGAAAUCACUUCUAUCUUUGCUUGCUAGUUGUUCGCUCUAUUGCUAUGCCGCGCUACCUACCACUUGUUAUAUCAUGCCUCCCAUAUUGCCAUGUCAAACCUCUAAUCCACUCUUCCUAGCAAACCGUUGUUUGGCUAUGUUACUGCUUUUACUCAGCCCCUCUUAUAGCGUUGUUAGGUGCAGCUGAAGAUGAAGAUUGCUCCAUGUUGGAUUAUGUUUAUGUUGGGAUAUCACAAUACCUCUUAUUUAAUUAAUGCAUCUAUAUACUUGGUAAAGGGUGGAAGGCUCGGCCUUAUGCCUGGUGUUUUGUUCCACUCUUGCCGCCCCUAGUUUCCGUCAUACCGGUGUUAUGUUCCUUGAUUUUGCGUUCCUUACGUGGUUGGGUGAUUUAUGGGACCCCCUUGACAGUUUGUUUUGAAUAAAACUCCUCCAGCAAGGCCCAACCUUGGUUUUACCAUUUGCUACCACCUAUCCCCUUUUCCCUUGGGUUCUGCAGACUCAAGGGUCAUCUUAUUUUAAACCCCCCCCAGGCCAGUGCUCCUUCGAGUGUUGGUCCGAACUGAGUAGACUGCGGGGCCCCCUCGUGGAAACUCGAGGUCUGGUUUUACUCGUAGGAUGUCUCAUCCGGUGUUGCCCUGAGAACGAGAUAUGUGCAGCUCCUAUCGGGAUUUGUCGGCCAUCGAGCGGCUUUGCUGGUCUUGUUUUACCAUUGUCGAAAUGUCUUGUAAACCGGGAUUCCGAGACUGAUCGGGUCUUCCCGGGAGAAGUUUUAUCCUUCGUUGACCGUGAGAGCUUAUAAUGGGCUAAGUUGGGACACCCCUGCAGAGUAUUAUCUUUCGGAAGCCGUGCCCGCGGUUAUGUGGCAGAUGGGAAUUUGUUAACGUCCAGUUGUAGAGAACUUGACACUUGACUUAAUUAAAAUACAUCAACCGCGUGUGUAGCCGUGAUGGUCUCUUCUCGGUGGAGUCCGGGAAGUGAACACGGUUUCUGGGUUAUGUUUGACGUAAGUAGGAGUUCAGGAUCACUUCUUGAUCAUUGCUAGUUCACGACCGUUGCGUUGCUUCUCUUCACGCUCUUAUUUGCGUAUGUUAGCCACCAUAUAUGCUUAGUGCCUGCUGCAGCUCCACCUCAUUACACCAUCCUUCCUAUAAGCUUAAAUAGUCUUGAUCUCGCGGGUGUGAGAUUGCUGAGUCCUCGUGACUCACAGAUACUUUCAAAACAGUUGCAGGUGCCGAUGAUACCAGUGCAGGUGACGCAACCGAGCUCAAGUGGGAGCUCGAUGAAGAUCUUGUUCGUUGUGUUGUUUGUUUUCAUGUUGAUCAGUAGUGGAACCCAGUUGGGACGAUCGGGGAUCUAGCAGUUGGGUUAUCUUCUUUUCUUUUGGUUUUGACCGUAGUCGGUCUAUGUGUGUACUCGGAAUGAUGUAUGUUUUAUUUAUGUAUUGUGUGAAGUGGCGAUUGUAAGCCAACUCUUUAUCCCGUUCUUGUUCAUUACAUGGGAUUGUGUGAAGAUGACCCUUCUUGCGACAAAACCACAAUGCGGUUAUGCCUCUAAGUCGUGCCUCGACACGUGGGAGAUAUAGCCGCAUCGUGGGCGUUACAGAUA